GACGAACGCUGGCGGCGUGCUUAACACAUGCAAGUCGAACGGAAAGGCCCUGCUUUUGUGGGGUGCUCGAGUGGCGAACGGGUGAGUAACACGUGAGUAACCUGCCCUUGACUUUGGGAUAACUUCAGGAAACUGGGGCUAAUACCGGAUAGGAGCUCCUGCUGCAUGGUGGGGGUUGGAAAGUUUCGGCGGUUGGGGAUGGACUCGCGGCUUAUCAGCUUGUUGGUGGGGUAGUGGCUUACCAAGGCUUUGACGGGUAGCCGGCCUGAGAGGGUGACCGGCCACAUUGGGACUGAGAAACGGCCCAGACUCCUACGGGAGGCAGCAGUGGGGAAUAUUGCACAAUGGGCGGAAGCCUGAUGCAGCAACGCCGCGUGCGGGAUGACGGCCCUCGGGUUGUAAACCGCUUUCGCCUGUGACGAAGCGUGAGUGACGGUAAUGGGUAAAGAAGCACCGGCUAACUACGUG
rnacentral:rRNA from 1 species